UAAUCAUGGAGACCAGAAACCAUUCAAACGGGGCGAAAUCCGAAAAGCCAGAAGAGUAGGAACACA
rfam:Chryseobacterium gambrini strain DSM 18014 genome assembly, contig: Ga0111674_124